AAGCGACGCCGCGUGGAGGAUGAAGGCCUUCGGGUUGUAAACUCCUGUCAUGCGGGAACAAGCAAGUGAUAGUACCGCAAGAGGAAGAGACGGCUAACUCUGUGCCAGCAGCCGCGGUAAUACAGAGGUCUCAAGCGUUGUUCGGAUUCAUUGGGCGUAAAGGGUGCAUAGGUGGUGACGCAAGUCUGGUGUGAAAUCUCGGAGCUCAACUCCGAAAUUGCACCGGAUACUGCGUGACUCGAGGACUGUAGAGGAGAUCGGAAUUCACGGUGUAGCAGUGAAAUGCGUAGAUAUCGUGAGGAAGACCAGUUGCGAAGGCGGAUCUCUGGGCAGUUCCUGACACUGAGGCACGAAGGCCAGGGGAGCAAACGGGAUUAGAUACCCCGGUAGUCCUGGCAGUAAACGGUGCACGUUUGGUGUGGGCGGGUUCAGACCCCGUCCGUGCCGGAGCUAACGCGUUAAACGUGCCGCCUGGGAAGUACGGUCGCAAGAUUA
rnacentral:rRNA from 1 species